GGAAUAGAGUAUCAAAGAGGGUGACAAUCCCGUACUUGACGCGACAACCGGUGCUCUGUGAUACGUUCUCAAUGAGUCGAGUUGUUUGGGAAUGCAGCUCUAAAUGGGUGGUAAAUUCCAUCUAAGGCUAAAUAUUGGCGAGAGACCGAUAGCGAACAAGUACCGUGAGGGAAAGAUGAAAAGCACUUUGGAAAGAGAGUUAAACAGCACGUGAAAUUGUUAAAAGGGAAACGAUUGAAGUCAGUCGUGUGAAAGGUAUUCAGCCGUCUCUGGCGGUGUAUUUGCCUUUCACGGGUCAACAUCAGUUUGAUCCGGUAGAAAAAGGCGGGAGGAAGGUGGCA
rnacentral:rRNA from 1 species